AUUGAACGCUGGCGGCAUGCCUUACACAUGCAAGUCGAACGGCAGCACGGGGGCAACCCUGGUGGCGAGUGGCGAACGGGUGAGUAACAUAUCGGAACAUACCCUAGAGUGGGGGAUAACGUAGCGAAAGUUACGCUAAUACCGCAUACGAUCUAAGGAUGAAAGUGGGGGGAUCUUCGGACCUCAUGCUCAUGGAGUGGCCGAUAUCUGAUUAGCUAGUUGGUGAGGUAAAGGCUCACCAAGGCGACGAUCAGUAGCUGGUUUGAGAGAACGACCAGCCACACUGGAACUGAGACACGGUCCAGACUCCUACCGGGAGGCAGCAGUGGGGAAUUUUGGACAAUGGGGGCGAACCCUGAUCCAGCAAUGCCGCGUGAGCGAAGAAGCCUUGGGUGUAAAGCUCUGUCAGCUGGAACGAAUAAUGACGGUACCAGCAGAGGAAGCAUCGGCUAACUACGUGCCAGCAGCCGCGGUAA
rnacentral:rRNA from 1 species